rnacentral:misc_RNA from 1 species
UUUGUUUCACGUUAUUGGAUUAGGCUGAUUCAGCCGCCCCAGUCAGUUUUUGACUGGGGCGUUUUUUA